rnacentral:rRNA from 1 species
GACGAACGCUGGCGGCGUGCUUAACACAUGCAAGUCGAACGGUGAAGGAGAGCUUGCUCUCCGGAUCAGUGGCGAACGGGUGAGUAACACGUGGGCAACCUGCCCCAGACUUCGGGAUAACGCUUCGAAAGAGGUGCUAAUACCGGAUACGAACUCCUUGGGCAUCCUUGGAGUUGGAAAGUUUUUCGGUCUGGGAUGGGCCCGCGGCCUAUCAGCUUGUUGGUGAGGUAACGGCUCACCAAGGCGACGACGGGUAGCCGGUCUGAGAGGGCGACCGGCCACACUGGGACUGAGACACGGCCCAGACUCCUACGGGAGGCNNNGGUGGGGAAUAUUNCGCAAUGGGCGAAAGCCUGACGCAGCAACGCCGCGUGANGGAUGACGGCCUUCGGGUNGUAAACCUCUUNCAGCAGGGANNNAGNGAAAGUGACGGUACCUGCGGAAGAAGCACCGGCUAACUACGUGCCAGCCGCCGCCGUAAAA